rnacentral:lncRNA from 1 species
AAAUAUUAAAAAAUAAAUAUAACAUCUAAUUUUCAUUUUAUAGAUUACAUUCAAAUAUUUGCAAUAUAAAGUUAUUAUGGUUAUCUUUGUGCAAGAAACUUUGACAUAAUUCCAGAUUAUUUCCUUAGUAAAUGGAUAAAUAUAAAUGAAUUUUCUGGAUAAAAGGAAGUGUAGUAUUUUAGAUUUUUCACAGGUUAUCAAAUUGAUUUCAGAAAGUAUGUACCACUUUGCAUUCCUACAGAGGUUUUAUAAAUACCUCUGUGUCACUAUCCCUCAUUAACAGUAAAUAUUGUUUUUGUCAAUUCUAUAAAUAGGAAACAUAUGAUUGUUGCAGACAUUUAUCCUGUUAUUUGUCAUCAUGAUACAUUUUGUUAUAUGUUUUUGGGGUAUUCUGCAAAGUGUUUUAACCCUUUCUUUCUCUUUUAUUUCUAUUAAGGUAAAUUCAUUGAUUGAUUGAAUUGGGUUGUGCACAAAAAAGGAAAAUAAAAGAAUUUAAGGGUGUUUUCCUGACUUUCCUGAUGGAUGACCUUGCUAAAAAUUCCAGGCGACGCUGGUAUCCAGAGAGGGUUCUGUGUGAAAAGAGAUUCCAUGAGACAAAUGGAAGAACAAGGAGAGGCGAAAGGAACAAUAGAGGUCUUUCAGAAGCAGGUCAACAAACAUUGAUGCAGCAUUUUCUUUGUGCGUGUUGAAGUAACAAUGAGCCUCAGAACUUCUAAUAAGCAGCAUAAUUGCCAUGUGGAGAAGGCUACAUUAUACAACACCAAUUUCUCUCUGAAGAUCCACCACCUCCGGAUGAAUGUUACUGAUUCCUACUGUCUAUUUCAUAGAUCUUCAACUCUUGUUCUUUUGUUUAAAGAUAUGAGUCUAAGCUUAGACAUAUAUGAUGCUUUCAAUUCAAAAAUGUUGUUUAGAAAAGGCGCUCAUUUAAAGAAUUUGCUGAAAGCUAAAGGAUAACCAAAGCAAAAGGCACACACAGGGUAACAUAAAUCUAGAAUAUAUGUUUUGCCAUAUGUAUUUUUCUCAUUUCCAAUCUAUUGUUAAAUACAUGGCAUCCUCCUACCACACCCUUACUUCCACUAGGCAGAGCAUCCAUUUAUUCUCUACCAUGCACAAGUCUUUGGCUUCAAAGUCAUAGGUUUCCAUGGUUACAGUUCUUCAUUGGUGUUCUUAUUUUCCUCAGGUAACUGAUAUUAAACUGGACUUCCCUCUCUUGCUCAAACCUCUGAGGUCCUCAUAGGCUAGAUUAUCAUCAAUAUAAUAUGACAACCUUAAGAUUCAUAUUAAACACAAACACUCUUGGUAAUUGGAAGGGAGAAAGUGAGAGGGAGGAGUCUUGAAAGAGAAUAUUGUUUCAUUACCUUUUCUUUCAAUUUUUGGGUAGCUUUUAUGGUCGUAAAGUAGCCUUUGGGAAAAAAUAUUGGAGACACUUGCAGUUUUAAGGCUUUAUCAAUGUCUGGUAAUGUGAUGUGGAGAUGAUAGAGCUUAAAUGUGAUGUGUUAAGCCACUGUUUCAGCACAUUUAAGCCAUGACUAAAAAGAGAAUUAUGAAUAUACCUGUAAAAAAGGAUAGAUGAGAAAUAAAGAAGUGUUGAAGCAUUCGGAUGACUAGUGAAGGAAAUCUCUUAGUCUAAAUUGGUCUGAUAGUCUUAAAAUGUGGAAUAGAACGUGGAGAAGAGUCCAUAACUAUCGAGCCAUAAGAGUGUAAUACAUACUAGAAGGGUAUUUGGGGGCUCAGGAGGAGGUGGGGAUGGUUAGCAGGUACAAAAUAAAAUAGAGUGAAUGAAUAAGACCUAC